CAGAAGGUUUCACACUGACAAGUAACAGGUUGGUUGUACCGACUAUUAGGAAGCAAUGAACAGCGCAAAAUGGAAAUCGACGAUGAACGGCACCAAUAGAGCCCGGUUCCAGGAAGGUGCGUCCGACCGGGGAGCAACCGCUCAGUGCGUCGUUUCGCCAUGCAGGCAGGGUUGCAGAGAGCCAUAAGCCAGGAGCUAAGGUUCGGAGGGAGUGGAGUGGAGCACCCCGGCAGGCUAACGACGCCUUCAGUACUCGUUCACAAAACGGUUAGAUCCUCAAGAUCCUCAUUGCCGGAGCGGCACAGUGCCAACCGCGCCCGGAUACAUGACAGCUGUCUGGAUUUAGAUACCCGAGUAUGCCAUCAUACCCGGUUUUGCCACAAAAACCCGUCGUUCGGUCUUUGCCGAACAUUGGCAGGAUCGACCAUCGCAAAGGAUCGACUUCAACACGCUGCCUUCACACAACAACCCUGUCUUGCUGUUGCUGCUGCACUGUUGAACGUACCGAGCGUUACCGGGCGUUACCGAUUCCCGAAACCUUCUUGAUGGCAGCUCAUCGAGAAGCGUAUUAGAUCUAAGGGCUCCACUUUAGAGCUCGGUUGGUUGCUUUCUUUUCUACCGAGCCGAGGCUCUGCAAACGUCGCAUAAUGCAAAAUAAUGACACCGUUGUCGAUGGGCAAUUACGGGCUAAUGCGGUGAAUUGUAAUACGCUUUCGAUUAGAUCUUGAGGCGCCCGCACGAACAUCCUUCUUUACAGCCCGGUGAAGGUGUGAAAUGGAGUGUGAUAAUUUUGUAAGUGUGCAUGCGAGCAUCUGUACCGUGCAGAUGAUUGAUCUUUCGACGAAAAUACGGAACUUAGAAAGAAAAAAAAACAGGUACCUUACGCAGGUAAUGCUAUUGAAGGCUCAUUAUGCCGACUGAUGUGAAAAAAUGAACUCCAACGCUGUGUGUAGAGUGUACCCUGAAUAACAAGUAUAGUAGUAAAAGUAAGCUUUUGAUGCAUAAUAAGGUUUGCGCUGUAACCGAGUUACGCUGUAAGCUUUCCUUUGUUGCUGAAGACAUUUACAUGCGCGCACAGCCGGUAUUCUUUGAUUAAAAUUUUAUACCAUUCGCUGAUGAGAUGCUUGGUGUGGUAAAGAUGAAAAAAAAAGGAAUCUGACUUUUGUUAUAACGUCUUAUGUUGACGUCUAACUUAUUCAGAUAUACUUAAUUAUAAAUCAAUUUAUUAUAUGAAAAGAGUCUUAAAAUGUGGGCAAAGACGUUUUUUUAUAUAUUUACAAAUUGUAAUUCUCAUUCCAAAUUUGCUUUUGAUGAAGGGCCUGAGACAAGUUAACCAAUAAAAAAAUUAAUAAAAACUAA